rnacentral:rRNA from 1 species
GCAAGUUCAUAAGAGCAAACGGUGAAUGCCUUGGCAUCUGGAGCCGAAGAAGGACGUCGUAAUCUGCGAUAAGCCUCGGGGAGCUGAUAAACGAGCUGUGAUCCGAGGAUUUCCGAAUGGGGAAACCCCGCCAGGCCCCUUGUGGUGACCUGGUGACUCCCGCCUGAAUAUAUAGGGCGGGUAGAGGGAACGUGGGGAAGUGAAACAUCUCAGUACCCACAGGAAGAGAAAACAACAGUGAUUCCGUCAGUAGUGGCGAGCGAACGCGGAAGAGGCUAAACCGAGUCAUGUGUGAUACCCGGCAGGGGUUGCAUGGCCGGGGUUGUGGGACUUUUCGUUCCGGUCUGCCGGCCGGUGAACGUUACAGCGCAUCAUAGACGAACAGGUUUGAACGCCUGGCCAGAGCGGGUGCGAGCCCCGUAGUCGAAAUGGUGUUAUGGCGUGAAGAGUAUCCCAAGUAGCACGGGGCCCGAGAAAUCCCGUGUGAAUCUGUCAGGACCACCUGAUAAGCCUAAAUACUCCCAGAUGACCGAUAGCGGACAAGUACCGUGAGGGAAAGGUGAAAAGUACCCCGGGAGGGGAGUGAAAUAGUACCUGAAACCGUUUGCUUACAAACCGUCGGAGCCUCCUUGUAGGGGUGACGGCGUGCCUUUUGAAGAAUGAGCCUGCGAGUUAGUGCUCUGUGGCGAGGUUAACCCGUGUGGGGCAGCCGUAGCGAAAGCGAGUCCGAAUAGGGCGAUUCAGUCGCAGGGUCUAGACCCGAAGCGAAGUGAUCUAUCCAUGGCCAGGUUGAAGCGACGGUAAGACGUCGUGGAGGACCGAACCCACUUCAGUUGAAAAUGGAGGGGAUGAGCUGUGGAUAGGGGUGAAAGGCCAAUCAAACUUCGUGAUAGCUGGUUCUCUCCGAAAUGCAUUUAGGUGCAGCGUUGCGUGUUUCUUGCCGGAGGUAGAGCUACUGGAUGGCCGAUGGGGCCCAAAAGCUUACUGACGUCAGCCAAACUCCGAAUGCCGGUAAGUGAGAGCGCAGCAGUGAGACUGUGGGGGAUAAGCUUCAUAGUCGAGAGGGAAACAACCCAGACCACCAACUAAGGUCCCUAAGCGCGUGCUAAGUGGGAAAGGAUGUGGAGUUGCACAGACAACCAGGAGGUUGGCUUAGAAGCAGCCACCCUUGAAAGAGUGCGUAAUAGCUCACUGGUCAAGUGAUUCCGCGCCGACAAUGUAACGGGGCUCAAGCACGCCACCGAAGUUGUGGCAUUGACAUUAGUGGUAGGCCUUCGUGGUCCAGCCGUGUUGAUGGGUAGGAGAGCGUCGUGUGGCGAGUGAAGCGGCGGUGUGAACCAGCCGUGGAUGCCACACGAGUGAGAAUGCAGGCAUGAGUAGCGAAAGACGGGUGAGAAACCCGUCCUCCGGAAGACCAAGGGUUCCAGGGUCAAGCUAAUCUUCCCUGGGUAAGUCGGGACCUAAGGCGAGGCCGACAGGCGUAGUCGAUGGACAACGGGUUGAUAUUCCCGUACCGGCGAAGAACCGCCCAAGACAAUCCAGUAGUGCUAAGUAUCUGAAUCCCUUUGAUGGAUCCCUUCGGGGUGAAGCUNNNNNNNNNNNNNNNNNNNNNNNNNNNNNNNNNNNNNNNNNNNNNNNNNNNNNNNNNNNNNNNNNNNNNNNNNNNNNNNNNNNNNNNNNNNNNNNNNAUAGCCUGAGAUCUGAUGGGUAGACGCAAGUCGAAAUCGGUGAUCCUAUGCUGCCAAGAAAAGCAUCGACGCGAGGUUCUAGCUGCCCGUACCCCAAACCGACUCAGGUGGUCAGGUAGAGAAUACUAAGGAGAUCGAGAGAAUCGUGGUUAAGGAACUCGGCAAAAUGCCCCCGUAACUUCGGGAGAAGGGGGGCCUGAGGCGUGAACGGACUUGCUCCGGGAGCGUUCGAUGGCCGCAGAGACCAGUGGGAAGCGACUGUUUACUAAAAACACAGGUCCGUGCUAAGUCGCAAGACGAUGUAUACGGACUGACGCCUGCCCGGUGCUGGAAGGUUAAGAGGAACGGUUAGCCGCAAGGCGAAGCUGAGAAUUUAAGCCCCAGUAAACGGCGGUGGUAACUAUAACCAUCCUAAGGUAGCGAAAUUCCUUGUCGGGUAAGUUCCGACCUGCACGAAUGGCGUAACGACUUCCCAGCUGUCUCAACCGCGAACUCGGCGAAAUUGCAUUACGAGUAAAGAUGCUCGUUACGCGCAGCAGGACGGAAAGACCCCGUGACCUUUACUAUAGUUUGGUAUUGGUGUUCGGUGUGGCUUGUGUAGGAUAGGUGGGAGACGUUGAAGCGGGCACGCUAGUGUUCGUGGAGUCAUUGUUGAAAUACCACUCUGGUCACUCUGGAUAUCUAACUUCGGACCCUAAUCGGGUUCAGGGACAGUGCCUGAUGGGUAGUUUAACUGGGGCGGUUGCCUCCCAAAGAGUAACGGAGGCGCCCAAAGGUUCCCUCAACCUGGUUGGCAAUCAGGUGGCGAGUGUAAGUGCACAAGGGAGCUUGACUGUGAGACUGACAAGUCGAGCAGGGACGAAAGUCGGGACUAGUGAUCCGGCAGUGGCUUGUGGAAGCGCUGUCGCUCAACGGAUAAAAGGUACCUCGGGGAUAACAGGCUGAUCUUGCCCAAGAGUCCAUAUCGACGGCAUGGUUUGGCACCUCGAUGUCGGCUCGUCGCAUCCUGGGGCUGGAGUAGGUCCCAAGGGUUGGGCUGUUCGCCCAUUAAAGCGGUACGCGAGCUGGGUUUAGAACGUCGUGAGACAGUUCGGUCCCUAUCCGCUGCGCGCGCAGGAAAUUUGAGAAGAUCUAUCCCUAGUACGAGAGGACCGGGAUGGACGAACCUCUGGUGUGUCAGUUGUUCCGCCAGGAGCACCGCUGAUUAGCUACGUUCGGAACGGAUAACCGCUGAAAGCAUCUAAGCGGGAAGCCGGCUUCGAGAUGAGAUUUCCAUCCCUUCGGGGGAGAGGCUCCCAGCCAGACGACUGGGUUGAUAGGCCGGAUGUGGAAGACAGGACUAAAGACUGUCGGAGCUGACCGGUACUAAUAAGCCGAUAACUUGAUAA